CCCAUGGAUACAGCCUGGCGAUGCAUUUAGAAUGAGGCAAUUACACAAUUUUACACACGCACGCAUCCUACACACUCAGUCAUACACACUUAGUACAUUUUAUUAUAUUCAGAGUUGUUGGAUUUGUUAUUAUUAAUGUAUAUGCAGAGAGAGAGAGAGAGAGAGAGAGAGAGAGAGAUUCCUAACAAAUAUUAAUGCAGGGAUGAGUCAUCCUCCACAGCAUCACACACACACACACACACACACACACACACACACACACACACACACACACACACACACACACACACACACACACACACACACACACACACACACACACACACACACACACCUCUUUAUUCAUAGUUUAGUCUGUCUCUAUCUGGCUCUACAUGUUCAAUGUAGAGCGAGAGAUGUGUUCAUCUACAAUUCUUCAAUUCAAUUUGUGAUUGGAUGUACAGAGAUGGUAUUUAAAGCGGUCCGUCUGUCUGGAUGUACAGCGUGUGUACAGACACCAGCAGGUACCUGAAGGUGUGCGGUCGCUAUCGACAGAACGUGAAGGUACAGAAAUACACAGACGUCUUCACAGUGGUCGUCCUGAGAGGUUUGGGAUCAGUCAGUGAAGUGGAGCUGGCAGGUCUGUCUCUCAGGAGCAGGUCUGUCUCUCUGAGGAGCAGGUCUGUCUCUCAGGAGCAGGUCUGUCUCUCAGGAGCAGGUCUGUCUCUGAGGAGCAGGUCUGUCUGUCUCUCUGAGGAGCAGGUCUGUCUCUCAGGAGCAGGUCUGUGGAGGUGUAUAGAGCCCUGGUAGCUAGUGCUAACCCUGUUAGGAGCAGACAGACAGCCAGCAGCUCUGCCUCCGAGGGCCGGCGGAGGCAGCGUGUCGAGGGCGCCGGGUCGG
ensembl:lncRNA